ACAAACAAUCACAACCCCAAAACCUUAAUCAGGGUAGCAAAAUAUUUAAUUUUUCAAAGGAAUGAAAAGGAGGUAGUGAGGGAUGGAAUACAGUGUGUUCAAUGGAUUGUACUGAUGUUUAAAAGGUUAGUUCACCCAGAAAUGAAAAUUCUGUCAUUUAUUACCAUCAUGUCAUUUCAAAGACUUUUGUUCAUCUUCGGAACACAAAUCAAGAUCAUUUAAAUGAAAUUUGAGUGAUUUCUGUACCUUCAUUGACAGCUAUGCAGCUACUCACACAUCAUUUCUGGUAAAUGGAAGCUCAAACAUGUUUGCUUGAUGUUCGAGAACCAAUGAGGUUCGUUCUCGUGUUACGCAGCACGUUUGAGUUUCAGCAAGAACCAAUAAGGUUCGUUCUCGUGUUACGCAGCACGUUUGAGCUUCAGCAAGAACCAAUAAGGUUCAUUCUCG